AUUGAACGCUGGCGGCAUGCUUUACACAUGCAAGUCGAACGGUAACAGGCCUUCGGGUGCUGGCGAGUGGCGAACGGGUGAGUAAUGCAUCGGGACGUACCCAGAGGUGGGGGAUAACGCAGCGAAAGCUGUGCUAAUACCGCAUGUGAUCUGAGGAUGAAAGCGGGGGACCGAGCAGCAAUGUUUGGCCUCGCGCCUUUGGAGCGGCCGAUGUCGGAUUAGCUAGUUGGUGGGGUAAAGGCCUACCAAGGCGACGAUCCGUAGCUGGUCUGAGAGGACGACCAGCCACACUGGGACUGAGACACGGCCCAGACUCCUACGGGAGGCAGCAGUGGGGAAUUUUGGACAAUGGGCGCAAGCCUGAUCCAGCAAUGCCGCGUGCGGGAAGAAGGCCUUCGGGUUGUAAACCGCUUUUGGCAGGAACGAAACGGUGUCCGCUAAUACCGGGCGCUAAUGACGGUACCUGCAGAAUAAGCACCGGCUAACUACG
rnacentral:rRNA from 1 species